rnacentral:rRNA from 1 species
CCUACGGGGGGCUGCAGUUGGGAAUCUUGCACAAUGGGGGAAACCCUGAUGCAGCGACGCCGCGUGGAGGAUGAAGGAUCUAGGUCUGUAAACUCCUUUUGCACGGAAAGACUUAGGACGGUACCGUGUGAAUAAGCACCGGCUAACUACGUGCCAGCAGCCGCGGUAAGACGUAGGGUGCAAGCGUUGUCCGGAUUUACUGGGCGUAAAGCGCUCGUAGGCGGCUCGUUAAGUGUGAAGUGAAAUCUCCAGUGCUCAACACGGAAACUGCUUUA